rnacentral:rRNA from 1 species
GACGAACGCUGGCGGCGUGCUUAACACAUGCAAGUCGAGCGGAGAUAAUAGCAAUAUUAUCUUAGCGGCGGACGGGUGAGUAACGCGUGGGCUACCUGCCUCGGACUGGGGGAUAACACAGGGAAACUUGUGCUAAUACCGCAUAACAUCAUGAGAUGACAUCAUCAUAUGAUCAAAGGAGUAAUCCGGUUUGAGAUGGGCCCGCGUCCGAUUAGCUAGUUGGUGGUGUAACGGACCACCAAGGCGACGAUCGGUAGCCGAACUGAGAGGUUGAUCGGCCACAUUGGGACUGAGACACGGCCCAGACUCCUACGGGAGGCAGCAGUGGGGAAUAUUGCACAAUGGGGGAAACCCUGAUGCAGCAACGCCGCGUGAAGGAUGAAGGUUUUCGGAUUGUAAACUUCUUUGAUGAGGGACGAAUAAAUGACGGUACCUCAAAAACAAGCCACGGCUAACUACGUGCCAGCCGCCGCAGUAA